rnacentral:rRNA from 1 species
UACGAAGGGGGCUAGCGUUGUUCGGAAUUACUGGGCGUAAAGCGUGCGCAGGCGGCUUCUCAAGUCAGGGGUGAAAGCCCAGAGCUCAACUCUGGAAUUGCCUUUGAGACUGAGUGGCUUGAGUACGAGAGAGGUGAGUGGAAUUCCCAGUGUAGAGGUGAAAUUCGUAGAUAUUGGGAAGAAACACCGGUGGCGAAGGCGGCUCACUGGCCCGUAACUGACGCUCAUGCACGACAGCGUGGGGGAU